rnacentral:rRNA from 1 species
GAUGAACGCUGGCGGCGUGCCUAAUACAUGCAAGUCGAGCGAACGGACGAGAAGCUUGCUUCUCUGAUGUUAGCGGCGGACGGGUGAGUAACACGUGGAUACCCUACCUAUCAGACUGGUAUAACUUCGGGAAACCGGCGCUAAUACCGGAUGAUAUUUUGAACCGCAUGGUUCAAUAGUGAAAGACGGUGUUGCUGUCACUUAUAGAUGGAUCCGCGCUGCAUUAGCUAGUUGGUAAGGUAACGGCUUACCAAGGCGACGAUGCAUAGCCGACCUGAUAGGGUGGUCGGCCACACUGGAACUGAGACACGGUCAAGACUCCUACGGGAGGCAGCAGUAGGGAAUCGUCCGCAGUGGGCGAAAGCAUGACGGAGCAACGCGGCGUGAGUGAUGGAGGUCUCCGGAUCGUAAAACUCUGUUAUUAGGGAAGAACAGAUGUGUAAGUAACUGUGCACAUCUUGACGGUACCUAAUCAGAAAGCCACGGCUAACUACGUG